CCAGGGCCUUGACGGGUGAAAAGGGAACCGAGUGCGAACCUCGGACGAUACCAGUCGCUGUAUGUACCCGAAUGUCACAUUCUCCGUUGACGAAAGUCAGUCAUUGGGAAACUGAGAAGGCAGGAAAUGUGACGCUUUUAUAGGGCACGAGUCAGAAGACCUGCUUUGAU
rnacentral:ncRNA from 1 species